rnacentral:lncRNA from 1 species
CAGUUUCUCAACCAUGCAGGAUAUUUCUGGACAGAUCAGACAAGAAAACCAUGUCUCAGAAUGGAAGAUUCAAAUUGGCUCAGCCCCAUCAGGAGUCCACACUCCAUCUGAGCAGCUGUGCAAAGAGACCAACGAGCAGGGCCGCUAAUGCAUCCCUUCAAAUGAGGUUACAGGACCCCACCCCGUGGAGAGGCUUGGGGAGAGGGUGGAGAGCUCAUACCGUCUUGAAGAAUUAUUCAAGUGUGAUCAGAGACUCUUAAAACAAAAUUUAUGAUUUCAGCAUGUACAUUGGCUGAUUUCCAAAAUACAGAUUUAUUUGGAAUUACUUAUGGAA